UACGGGGGGGGUAAGCGUUGUUCGGAAUUACUGGGCGUAAAGGGCUCGUAGGCGGCCAACUAAGUCAGACGUGAAAUCCCUCAGCCUAACUGGGGAACUGCGUCUGAUACUGGAUGGCUUGGAUUCGGGAGAGGAAUGCGGAAUUCCAGGUGUAGCGGUGAAAUGCGUAGAUAUCGGGAGGAACACCAGAGGCGAAGGCGGCGAUCUGGACUGAUACUGACGCUGAGGUGCGAAAGCGUGGGGAGCAAACAGG
rnacentral:rRNA from 1 species